rnacentral:rRNA from 1 species
UAGAUAUCCUGGGCUGCAAGUGCAAUACAAUAUCCAUGUCGAUCAAGAAAGGUGAUUAUGGAUGAGCAGGAUUAGCUCUUGUAAAUGAGCUAUGAAUGAGGAAUUCCUAGUAACAGUGUCUCACUAAGGCAUUGUGAAUGCGUCCCUGUUCUUUGUACACACCGCCCGUCACUAUUUCAGAUGGCCAUGAAGAUGAAGAGCUUCGGUUCUGAAUAUUCAUGUCUAGAUAAAGUACAAGUCGUAACAAGGUUGCGGUC